rnacentral:misc_RNA from 1 species
AGAAUUCGCAACAUCCCAAAGGUGUGCCAAUUUUGACAUGUUCAUGUUACUUCCAUUUCUGCAUUUUUAAUGAGCCUAUUUAUCAUCUCAAUGCACAAAAUAGCUAAUAAUACUACAAAAAUUAUUACACGGAUAUGCUAUGAGAAAACUAAUUAUACGUACUGAAGCUAUGCCUCUGUUGGACAAUGAUUUACUAGGUUGGCUUUCCGACAUUAACCG